GCAUUGGUGGCUCAGUGGUAGAAUUCUCGCCUGCCACGCGGGAGACCUGGGUCCGAUUCCCGGCCAAUGCA
rnacentral:tRNA from 1 species